CAUACAGACAAGCAUCUGGGUGCCCUUAGUAAGUAAGGGGUAACAGGGAAUCGGGUGAAAAUCCCGAGCGGUCCCGCCACUGUAACGGUGAGCCGGCCAUCAAUAUGUCACUCGAGCAAUUGGGGGAAGACGAUGGCAGGCGAUGAACCGAAGCCAGGAGACCUACCCGGACUGCCUACACAAU
rnacentral:ncRNA from 1 species